GUGGAAGAAUAGAUAUUGAGGAGAUGGAGAUAGCGGGGAACAUGAUUUAUCAAGGCCAGAUUACAUUUAUGCAUUAAAUGACUGGUGCCCUGUCCAGGAUGUGCCCUGCGUAGAUGAGAGGUGCUGCUUACAUGACACGCAUGCUGCUGGGACCUGCUGCCACGGCCUGCAUCUGUCGUGUGCCACACGGGGACUGAACACCGGCUGGUACGCGAGCAGGCGAGGGUAACAGCACGUGGGUCAGGCCCACUCAACGGCUGGCCGAGCCUCAGCGGAGAGAAGCAGCCAGACACGAGGCCUCAGCGUGACCUCAGCAGCACCACGCCAGGCCUGACACAUGUCCUGCCAGCGCGCAAACACACAACGAUACUCAUCCUUCACUGUGGGCGAAGAGCUCAGCCUCCCGGCAUCACAGAACUGCCAUUCAGUGCUGAACUCGCUGAAUAUAAUGCACA